CAAAAUCAGCGGGGAAAGAAGACCCUGUUGAGCUUGACUCUAGUCUGACUCUGUGAAGAGACAUGAAAGGUGUAGCAUAGGUGGGAGAUUGUCAAAUUGCCAUCGUUCGCGCGAUGGUCCGGUGAUCGCCAAUGAAAUACCACUACUUUGAUCGUUUCUUUACUUAUUCGGUAAAGCGAAAAAAUUGUGGCCAAUUUGGCGGUGUUUAUGUCGCUGUUGGUCAUUGUUUUCAUGUUAGAUUGAAGCUUUGUUUACAGCCGUCGCUUUGUGUCGCCAUUUGACGCAUUGUUGUACUGGGUUAUCCCGGUGUGUGGUGUAGUCAGUAUGGAUGAUCGGCGAUAGGUUUGAAGUGAUUCGCUCCGGAAACAGUGUCAGACGGGGAGUUUGACUGGGGCGGUACAUCUGUUAAACGAUAACGCAGGUGUCCUAAGGUAAGCUCAGCGAGGACAGAAACCUCGCUUAGAGUAAACGGGCACAAGCUUACUUGAUUUUGAUUUCCAGUACGAAUAGAAACCGCGAAAGCGUGGCCUAUCGAUCCUUUUGAUUGUGUAGAUUUCAUGCAAGAGGUGUCAGAAAAGUUACCACAGGGAUAACUGGCUUGUGGCAGCCAAGCGUCCAUAGCGACGUUGCUUUUUGAUCCUUCGAUGUCGGCUCUUCCUAUCAUUGCGAAGCAGAAUUCGCCAAGCGUUGGAUUGUUCACCCACCAAUAGGGAACGUGAGCUGGGUUUAGACCGUCGUGAGACAGGUUAGUUUUACCCUACUGAUGACAAGUCGUUGCGAUAGUAAUCCUGCUCAGUACGAGAGGAACCGCGGGAUCAGACAUUUGGUUCAUGCGCUCGGCUGAAAGGCCGGUGGCGCGAAGCUAGCAUCUGCAAGAUUAUGACUGAACGCCUCUAAGUCAGAAUCUUUUCUAGUCAUUGGCAACGAUAAGUUGCGUCCAGACUCGAUGCGAGGAAACGAUUAGGCUUUGCUAUACGGCGAAGCCAUUAUCAGACCACGGUAGCAGGCAGUAUGGGAUUGUUACGAAAAAGCAAUUUUUUGAAGUCAGUUGAAUUCAAUCAAACUGCUAACAAUUCCACUGCGAAUGACUCCAUUCGAAUCAAUCGAAGCACAGCGGUCAGGAUGUCGAACAUUUUGCAGACGACAAAAAUACCGGUACAGGUGUCGUAAUCAGUAGAGCAGUCAACACACUGCGAUCUGAUGAGACUCAUCCUUGUAAUCGAUUUGCUC
rnacentral:ncRNA from 1 species